AUCCUAGUAGCUUAAUUGGCAAAGCGGCGCGGUAGUGCACCUGCGGUCACGAUUCGGGUUCGAAUCCCGACUAGGGUA
rnacentral:tRNA from 1 species